AUCAAGUGUAGUAUCUGUUCUUAUCAGUU
rnacentral:piRNA from 4 species